UUCCCUCUCUGGGAUCUGCUGGGAUAAGAGCUUUGCUCUCAUUUUGGUGAAGAGGCUCUUUCAGCUUAUCUCAGCUUGUUUUCAGCAGGUACUUUUGGGCAUGUGGAGCAACGGAGGCUUUGAAGGAGGAGCGCAACUUCCAUCAUGUCACAAAAGGCAUCUGCAUUGUGUCAAACAUGAUGUUUGAGACGGAGGCUUCAGAUGAGUUGAGGAUUGUGACUAGGAGAGGGAAGGUGCUACUCAUAAUAACAGCCGCAGCCUUGGACUCAGGAUGAAGCUGGAGACUCAAGGACCCUGGCAUGCUCAGGAGAAG